rnacentral:rRNA from 1 species
UACGUAGGGUGCGAGCGUUAAUCGGAAUUACUGGGCGUAAAGCGUGCGCAGGCGGCUUUGCAAGACAGAUGUGAAAUCCCCGGGCUCAACCUGGGAACUGCAUUUGUGACUGCAAGGCUAGAGUACGGCAGAGGGGGAUGGAAUUCCGCGUGUAGCAGUGAAAUGCGUAGAUAUGCGGAGGAACACCAAUGGCGAAGGCAAUCCCUGGGCCUGUACUGACGCUCAUGCACGAAAGCGUGGGGAGCAAACAGG